UACAUAAAAAAAACUUUGCAAUUUCGCGCGCGCAUUAAAAAUAGAACAGUAUCAGUUUGUACUUCGUGGCCUUGCACUCGUUUCUCAUUUAUGGUGUUGUUGCUUACGGAAAUAAUUAUGAUUUUUGCGGAAAUUAAAAUUCGGGAAUAUCAUAACUCAGGUUGCUGCAACAACGCCCUGUUUCACUUUUGCUUGACCUCGACAAUGAAUUCCUCGUAUUGGAUUAAAAUUAUAGCCGUGGAAAGUUUGCGGCGGGAUAAACUAUAUUAAUAACAAUAACAAUUGCAUCAAUUCCGUAUAUUUGAAAUAGAUGCUGCUGUUGUGUUCGGGAUGCCGUUAAUUCCCUUUCCAACCUUUCGGUAAGAAGUUGGGAAUCUCGGUGCUUCGUUUCAACAAUGGGCAACAUUUGCUCCAGGCACCGCAUGGACACCAUUGCCAGCUCUUGGGGGUUGGACGGCUCGUGCCACCUGUGCGGGUCCAGCGGGUGGUGGUGGUGGUGGCGGCAGAUCUGUUGCUGCUGCUGGGGAGAUGUUUUGGUAGAUGUCUCUUAGGACAUUCAUGUCCUUUGCACCCGCCCUUGGUAACGAAGCUCUGUAACAAUAAGGAGAAAAGCACAGUAUUAAGAAUAGAGUGUAUGUAUAUAUUGCAAGUAUAACUUACUGAAAGUGA